rfam:Loxodonta africana unplaced genomic scaffold scaffold_5, whole genome shotgun sequence.
AUCACCUGGGGACCUUGCCAAAAUGGAGAUUCUGUUUCAGUACGUCUGAGUAGGGUCUGAGAUUCUGCCUUUCUAACAAGCUCUCAGGUGAUGCUGA